rnacentral:rRNA from 1 species
GACGGAGGGCGCAAGCGUUGUUCGGAAUUACUGGGCGUAAAGCGUGCGCAGGCGGCUCUGCAAGACAGAUGUGAAAUCCCCGGGCUCAACCUGGGAAUUGCAUUUGUGACUGCAGCGCUGGAGUGCGGCAGAGGGAGAUGGAAUUCCGCGUGUAGCAGUGAAAUGCGUAGAUAUGCGGAGGAACACCGAUGGCGAAGGCAAUCUCCUGGGCCUGCACUGACGCUCACGCACGAAAGCGUGGGGAGCAAACAGG